rnacentral:rRNA from 1 species
UGGGGAAUUUUGGACAAUGGGCGAAAGCCUGAUCCAGCAAUGCCGCGUGUGUGAAGAAGGCCUUCGGGUUGUAAAGCACUUUUGUCCGGAAAGAAAUCCUUGGCUCUAAUACAGUCGGGGGAUGACGGUACCGGAAGAAUAAGCACCGGCUAACUACGUGCCAGCAGCCGCGGUAAUACGUAGGGUGCAAGCGUUAGUCGGAAUUACUGGGCGUAAAGCGUGCGCAGGCGGUUUGCUAAGACCGAUGUGAAAUCCCCGGGCUCAACCUGGGAACUGCAUUGGUGACUGGCAGGCUAGAGUAUGGCAGAGGGGGGUAGAAUUCCACGUGUAGCAGUGAAAUGCGUAGAGAUGUGGAGGAAUACCGAUGGCGAAGGCAGCCCCCUGGGCCAAUACUGACGCUCAUGCACGAAAGCGUGGGGAGCAAAACAGGAUUAGAUACCCUGGUAGUCCACGCCCUAAACGAUGUCAACUAGUUGUUGGGGAUUCAUUUCCUUAGUAACGUAGCUAACGCGUGAAGUUGACCGCCUGGGGAGUACGGUCGCAAGAUUAAAACUUAAAGGAA